rnacentral:misc_RNA from 1 species
AAGUCGUAACAAGGUUUCCGUAGGUGAACCUGCGGAAGGAUCAUUACCAAUUGUGUGAUUCAUUCACAUUAGUGCUUGACCCGUGGGUCAUUGCAUAAACGCUUUUAUUGUCAUUUUUUGUGGGGAUCAUUAAACUAAAAUACAACUUUUAACAAUGGAUCUCUUGGCUCUU